AUAUAUUCACGCUGGUAUUGCUGAAUGUUUCAAGGUCACAAGUAUUUGUACAUUAAUAAAUAUAGUAUAUAUGUUAUUGUUGUUUAUUACAGUUUAUGACAACUGGUGAACAUGUUUUCAGAUUGUGGUAAUAAAGUUUGAUUAUAAACAUUUGAUUUUAUUGUUAUUUGUAAGAUGUAUGAUAGUUAUUAUUUGCCAAGGUUGAGUAAUCCACAUGUUUGGUUGCAGAUAUGAUUGCAUUGAAUGCAUGUGAACUGCCUGUUUUGUUGUCGUGAUUUGAUUGGUUGUGAGUGAAACUGUAGUAUACGUGGUGGGAGAUAUGAAUUUAUAUUGUCACUCUAAUAAUGGAUUUUGGGAGAAUCACACAUAUUCAUUGGUCAUAUCAUUCAUGAAUCGUUCGUAAAUAUAUUUCAACUAAAUGGGUGUUAGACUGUGUGUCUCGUUGGUUUUGACUGUGUGUCGUUAUAAUGGUAAUCUGUGUGAUUAUGAGCAAUAAUUAGUACAUUUACUUGUGACCUGAUUGUGAUUGUGAUUCUGAUUCUGAUUCUGAUAAUGUUAAUGUGCUACGGAUAGUGUUACCUAUAUUGUUAGUCUGGUCGUUAUUGUUCCAGUUAGUUAUUUUAUGGUAAUUAAAAGAUAUACACGAAUGAAUAACUCAUCAACCUUAUCAUCUUAAUCAUCUUUUUAAAUGUGCCGUGGAGAGUCAAAUGGUUGGUGACUGCUGUGUGCGCGUGUACCAUCAAAUCGUCAUCUCAUCAACAUAUAAACGUGAUUAGUGGUCUUUUGAAUCGGUGGAGACGGUGAUAUUAUUAGAGAAUAAUUACAUAAAUAUAUAUAUAUAUAUACAUAUUAUAAUUGUAUUGACUUAUAUUGUAGUUAUAUAAAGAUAUUUAAAUUAUA